rnacentral:rRNA from 1 species
CCUACGGUGCUGCAGUGGGGAAUAUUGGACAAUGGGCGCAAGCCUGAUCCAGCCAUGCCGCGUGAGUGAUGAAGGCCUUAGGGUUGUAAAGCUCUUUCAGCGGGGAAGCGGUACCCGCAGAAGAAGCCCCGGCUAACUUCGUGCCAGCAGCCGCGGUAAUACGAAGGGGGCUAGCGUUGUUCGGAAUCACUGGGCGUAAAGCGCGUGUAGGCGGAUCGUUAAGUCGGGGGUGAAAUCCUGAGGCUCAACCUCAGAACUGCCUUCGAUACUGCGAUCUUAGAGUCCGGGAGAGGUGAGUGGAACUCCUAGUGUAGAGGUGAAAUUCGUAGAUAUUAGGAAGAACACCAGUGGCGAAGGCGGCUCACUGGCCCGGACUGACGCUGAUAUGCGAAAGCGUGGGGAGCAAACAGGAUUAGAUACCCUUGUAGUC